UUUUUGCGUUAGGGAUAGUAGUGGCAGCUUUUUGGAAGCCUUAGCUGCCAAAAACUAGAACGGAUAGCCCGCCGCCGA
rnacentral:sRNA from 1 species